UAAAGCAAGUGUGUUGUGCCCGGAGAGGAGACCCCCAGCUCCAGCUGGCUCAGCCACAUCCACCAUGCUGUGUGACUCCAGAUGCAUCACAGGCUGUCUCUGGCCCAGCCCCAGGCAGCGGGAGAAGAAAGCUCAGGAGUCCGUGGAAAUGCAGGGACACCGCCCCUCGUGCCCUGGAAGAGGCUCCAUAGUCCACCCCCAGCCUUCCAGCUUGAGUUCCACCUUCAACUCCACUCGUGAUCACACAGGGCUGGGCUCUCUCCAUGUCCCCUGCAUCGCCCAGGACGGCCCAGUCUCCAAGGACAUCCAUGUAUGCAAAAUAAAAUCCCUCUGCUAGGCGUGCCCUGCACG
rnacentral:antisense_RNA from 1 species